GCUGUUACCAGAGUCUGUGCUUGUGGACAGCACCCAAGACUGCCUCCCUGAUUACCUUCCUGUCACUGUCUCCCUGUUGUGUGGAAAUCCUGUCAUGGCAGGUUUUCUUAUCUUCCUCUCCAACCAAACUGUGGGACUCUUGAUGGUAUGGCCCAUAACCCCCCUGAUUCCCCAGCUCCUGUCUUGGUGCCUCGCACACAGUUAAUAUACAUUGAGGAAAUGGAUGAAUAAUUGCACACAUUGAAAGCAGAGCUCUAGGCAGAAGAUAUUUUGUUGGAUUUAUGUGAAGAGAUGGAAAGCAGAGAAAUCACGUCUGCAUCGGUUUCCUCUAACUGGUUGAGCUCCCAGUAGAAGAUGCCUCACCUCUUUUAGAUCCAAUGGCUCUCAGAUGAUGAAACUGGAGUCUUCCUCUCCAUAACCUUCAUCAAAACAUUUCAAACAAAUCACCAAAUAGGAAUCAUUUAGCUUGCCUUUUCCCACAUUAGUUUCAGACUUCCAUAAGGGCGUUCACUUCAGGCUCUAAACAGCCCCUUCGCCCAUUUAUUCCCUCCUGGCAUGGUUUAAUUUCCCCAAACUUUACCUGCCGUGCUAACUGAGGCUGCAUACAUCUGCAGAACUCUCCCCAAAGAAACAGUCCUCCACGGAUGGAGAUAUAUCACAUCUAAGUAUUGAG
rnacentral:lncRNA from 1 species